UACGUAGGGUGCGAGCGUUAAUCGGAAUUACUGGGCGUAAAGCGUGCGCAGGCGGUUUGCUAAGACAGAUGUGAAAUCCCCGGGCUUAACCUGGGAACUGCGCUUGUUACUGGCAGGCUUGAGUGUGGCAGAGGGGGGUGGAAUUCCACGUGUAGCAGUGAAAUGCGUAGAGAUGUGGAGGAACACCGAUGGCGAAGGCAGCCCCCUGGGCUAACACUGACGCUCAUGCACGAAAGCGUGGGGAGCAAACAGG
rnacentral:rRNA from 1 species